CCGCUUGCCUCGCCCAGCGCAGCCCCGGCCGCUGGGCGCACCCGUCCCGUUCGUCCCCGGACGUUGCUCUCUACCCCGGGAACGUCGAGACUGGAGCGCCCGAACUGAGCCACCUUCGCGGACCCCGAGAGCGGCGGCGCGACUCACCGCGGAGGCGCCCGGACGCGUCAAGCCCAGCCCAAUAGGAAGCACCUGAUCCACACUCUUUCUAGCCCCAGGGAUGCUCAGGAAAGCAGCCUUUCUUUAGGGCUGUCAUCUGUUCUGGGGAUCUGUUGCUGUUUCUUGGGCCCACAGAAUACACUCCACACCUCGGGACUCUAUAAUAUUGGACAAGGCUGGAAGGCCCAUUUGGCUCCUGCAGCCUCUUAUGCAGGUGAGGACAGACCCAAGGUCCAGGCAAUGCUGGCCUUUGGAACACAGAACCUGGCUCACUGACUCCCACUCCAGUUGUCUUUUCCCUCUGCCUCUGGAGCAACCCUCUCUCCUCCGGAGCAACCCCUGUCCCUCCUUCCUACCUCUCUCUAGGGCUGCACCCCCAGCUCACCUUAGACCUGGCCCUUCCUACCUGUUGCCCCUACUGUCUUGUCCCAUCCCAGUGGUCAGGAGGGAGAGUACUGGCCAAAGGCCCAGCUCCACCUGUGACUUAGGGGAGCGCCAGGCAUCACCCAGAGGUCCCGGCCCUCGGGGGCCUGGCAGGCUCUGCUGUGGGGGAAGCAGAGUUAGAACUGGGGCUGCUUCUCCUGUCCCCCAGCCUGGCUGGGCCUCCCCCACCUCCCUUUCUGCCUGCCCUCUUACAACUCCAGCAGGGGGCGGGCAGGGGAAAGAAAAGGAGGGACAAGUUGGAUGGGGUCCAUUUGGUGUCCAGGAACAACUUGGAGAGAGGCGGGGAGGGGACAGGCAGCAGGGCCCUGGCAGAGCCAGGGGAGGGCUGGCCUUUGGAUGGCCUUCUGAUCCCAAGCCCAUCCUCCUGGGGCAGUCUUCCCUUGAAAGGGAGGGUUUGGUGAACCCUGGUGCGGACCCCCCCGCCGGACCUCACUGCCCCAGUGUGGGGCGUGGUAGGCGGGUUUGCAAUGGGUACAGCCUCUCUCUCCAUUCCAGUAGAGCAGCUCCCAGGGCCCAGAGAGGCUGUCACUGAGACUUCCCUCUGGGGUGGGGUGGGUUCUGGUGGCCCUGUGUUCCCCUGCAGGAGGACCUCCUGAGGCUUCGAGCAGGAGCUGGUGCACACCUGGAGGAGAGUGCUGGUGAAUGGCAGGUGUGUGCCUCAGUGUCCUUGCUGCCUGGGUGUCAGCCCUGCUUCACCACUGGCCCUUUGUCUCUGUCCCCUCCACUGGCCUGUUGAAGCACAGAGACCCUCCGGGUACUUUCCUUCCUCUGGGCUUCCACUCAUGCUAUUCCCUGCUCCCUUCUUCUACCUGGAGACCCCCAUUCCUCCUCCUCCUCUGCUGCCCUCACCUCCACCUGGGCCCUCCCAGCUCCUGGGAGAUGGCUAAACCCCACUCCCCACCCGCUAGUCAUCCUCUUCAGCGGUCCUCCCAGAGCUGUCCUCGGCAUGGCAGCCUCCACAGCCCCUGGGUGUCACCCCCGGUUUCGUGUCUGCCUUGGACUCCAGACCUGCCCCUCCCAGGCUGGCCCAGAUGGAUCCUCUGCAGUGACUAACCCAAACCAGCACCAGGCAGGGACCCAAUAAACCUUCGUGAAUGGA
rnacentral:lncRNA from 1 species